rnacentral:lncRNA from 10 species
GAGAUCGGGAGCGGGAGCCUGAGGCGGCGAGCUCCCGGGGCAGCCCUGUGCGCGUGAAGCGGGAGUUCGAGCCGGCGAGCGCGCGCGAGGCCCCGGCUUCUGUUGUCCCGUUUGUGCGGGUGAAGCGGGAGCGCGAGGUCGAUGAGGACUCGGAGCCUGAGCGGGAGCAAAGAAUGGCCGAGUGGAUUCUGAGGACCGGAGGAGCCGCCACUGCCCGUACCUGGACACCAUUAACAGGAGUGUGCUGGACUUUGACUUUGAGAAACUGUGUUCUAUCUCCCUCUCACACAUCAAUGCUUAUGCCUGUCUGGUGUGUGGCAAGUACUUUCAAGGCCGGGGUUUGAAGUCUCACGCCUACAUUCACAGUGUCCAGUUUAGCCACCAUGUUUUCCUCAACCUCCACACCCUCAAGUUUUACUGCCUUCCAGACAACUAUGAGAUCAUCGAUUCCUCAUUGGAGGAUAUCACGUAUGUGUUGAAGCCCACUUUCACAAAGCAGCAAAUUGCAAACUUGGACAAGCAAGCCAAAUUGUCCCGGGCAUAUGAUGGUACCACUUACCUGCCGGGUAUUGUGGGACUGAAUAACAUAAAGGCCAAUGAUUAUGCCAACGCUGUCCUUCAGGAGAUGGCGUUGACUUUCUGUCUUGGUUUCUGAAUGCUCUGCACUCAGCUCUGGGGGGCACAAAGAAGAAAAAGAAGACUAUUGUGACUGAUGUUUUCCAGGGGUCCAUGAGGAUCUUCACUAAAAAGCUUCCCCAUCCUGAUCUGCCAGCAGAAGAAAAAGAGCAGUUGCUCCAUAAUGACGAG